CCUCAACUUAAUGGUGUGUUUUGGGCUUGAUAGCUCAGCCUCUUUCUUCACCUCGGAUCAGUCUUGAUUUUUACUUUAGUCUUUGACUUGAUAGCUCAACCUCGGUCUUCACCUCGGUCUGAAGUGCUCAUGGACUUGUCGACCUGUCGAAGAAACUAGAAUGAUAGAUGAGGACUUACAAGCUCUUACCAUGCUAGCUUUUGAGUUAUGGGAGUCUCUUCUUGAUAGU
rnacentral:lncRNA from 1 species